UACAGAGGGUGCAAGCGGUAAUCGGAAUUAUUGGGCGUAAAGGGCGCGUAGGCGGACGGGUACGUCAGAUGUGAAAGACCUGGGCUUAACCUGGGUAGGUCAUCUGAUACGGCCUGUACUAGAGUGACGUAGAGGGUAGCGGAAUUCCCGGUGUAGCGGUGAAAUGCGUAGAUAUCGGGAAGAACACCAAUGGCGAAGGCAGCUACCUGGACGUUAACUGACGCUGAGGCGCGAAAGCGUGGGGAGCGAACAGG
rnacentral:rRNA from 1 species